GGUGAAGAUACACGCCGUACAUACGUGACAGACCGUAAAGGGAGUAAGACGCCUAUAAACUGUGAAAGUGUAUCAUCUGGCGAGGAAAAUGUGGAGUAAUCGGCAUGACCAAACAGCGAUGCAAGGCCCUUUGCAGGUACACAAACUACAACUGUCGGCAGCAAAUCGAGAAUGGCAUACUUUCAAAGCUUAAUGCUGAGAGAGCACUCCCCUCCGCAGAAGAGAAAGAACAACUGACUAGGGCCGGAUCACUCUAACAGCAACAGAAGGCGGACAAAGUUGGGUGAUGGCGGCUCUCACUCGAUUAUCGAAUGAGUUAUACUUCAAAGAAUCAAAAGAUACACAAUUUACCAAAGGCAUUUUUAAACAGGUCUUGAAGCAUCAACCGCAAUAUUUGGAAAAUAAAAUGUAGAAUGUGUUUACAUCACUCCAUGAAAGGCAUUGAAACGAUUUGCUCCAUUCAGCGACCACACUGAAAGAAGACUCGUGGCAGGACUUUGAUACCAAUGCAGCGUAUUUGGAAAAUUAAUCUGCACAAAACAAUGGCAACUUUUCAUCUGCUUCUGUAUUUCUGCUUCUUCCCGCCAGUGGUGCCUAUAGGAGUGGAAUAUAUUUGUCCUAAAUUUCAACAAGGCUUGAACAAGAUCACCUGCAAGAUCAAUACAACAGCAUUUGAUAAUGAAGCAUGUGACUCCUUGCAGAAGAAUGUGACCUUUGAAAAGGGAGAUACUAAACUUUGCUAUGCACCGUCACCAGCAGCUUCUGGUUGUAAUGCAUCGCAAAACACGUCCUCUAAUCCUUGUUGGUGUGUUGAAUCGGAUAACAUUUUUACUUACACAUUUUUAUUCAUGGCUACUUCGAGGGAUCUGGGAGCAGUCGUAGAAUGCAAAUAUUGCAUAACUUCAUCAACCACAAACGACAUCGUUGGCUGCAACAUUAGUAGCUUUGAUUCUGAUAACCAAGCCCCAAGGGCACAUAUGAUUUAUACAACUCCGGCAUGGCUUCUUCCAGUUUUCUUGUCAUUCAAGGGCUUUUAUGGUUAGGAAAGAGAGUGACAGUAGUAAAAUUGUUUACGAACGUUUUACGUGGGCCUAUCGAGGAUUUGUGAAUAGGCCAGUCCACCUCUGCUGUGACCCCGGUAACCUCCUCACCGACAAGGCAGUGUGUAGUGCCUUCGCGUGUCAUCAACAGCUGAGUUACGCAGAGCGACCAAAGAGUUUCUUUUCCACCCCGAUUCCCCCCAUGGGGGAAAGAUCAACUGAUUCUAUGUGAAGUGUAAUGUGUUAUUUGGAUUCUAGUUGGUUGAAGAUGCGAAGGGUGACAACGCUAAGAUAUUGGGAUGUUGAACUGUGAGUAACGUACACAAUGAUUUCUAGAGCUGUUAUGAGACAGAUUAUUGAACCUUAUUUCUAAACUGUAGGAGAGAGUGCAAGGAGCGUAAAAUCUCCAUCUUUGAUCUCAAGAUGUGUCUAUGCUGAGGCUGUUCGUGGGGAAUGCCCCGGAUGUGAACAUUGCAUACAUCGUUUAGAUUUUCGUCGCCUUGAGAACGCUCUGUUGAGGCUGGUUGUUUACAAAUAAGUAUAUGUGCCGUUGUCUGUAAAGUCCUCAGCCACUCGAUAACGAAAUUAACAAGAAAUAGGCAGCCUCAGGCAAUCGUUAUCUUGAAAGAACGCGCCAUUGUCUGGUGCGAGUGUGUUCUUGAAGCUUCCGUGCCUUGACACAUGCAAAGAUAACUCAAGGCCGACAACUGAUGACAGCGCAGACUGUCAAGGACGCUGACGUCACGCUCCUGAAGUUUUGGCUUUCACUGAGAUGUUUACGAAAACACCAAAAUGGAGGUGGACAGGACACGCCCUGCGCAAACCAGCUGACAUCAUUUCCAGGCAGGCACUUGACUGGAAUCCUCAGGGGAAGAGGCGAGUUGGGAGGCCAAAGCAGACUUGGAAAGGAACAGUAGAGAGCGAGGCAAUGGACAUCGGAACCACAUGGGCUCCACUGAGGGGAGCUGCCCUAUACAAGGUCCGCUGGCGAGGUGGUGUGGCGGCCGUUCGCUCCUUGAGGAGUAACAAGGACUAAACUAAACAAAGGGCGUUAAACAAGGUUUACUACCAAGCACAGACCGUACAAGCCUCUCGUAUCCCCCAUCCUGCUGGACUUCUCUUGCUGAUACAGAGGGUGAAUAGAAACAUUCGAAACUACAUGCGAGAGGGGACUGCUCCGAGUCUCUUACAAGGAACACAAAACCCAAUGACUUUAUAUGGAGCACUGUCGGUAUCCUUGUGUGACAUCAGAAACCACUGGUGGAUCAGGAGCAAGAAUGUUCCUCUGUGACUUGCGUGAGGUCGUCAAACCACGGAUGAGGAUUGUGUGGACAGCACCUGUCUUGGUAUUUUUUGUUGUCACAGGUGUAAACAUCUCUCCAUGUGAUGACAACGGUGUGAGAGAAGUCCUAGCUGACCAAGACACUGUCUUCACUUGCACGGCUGAGGGACAAGUCGAGUGGAGGUUUGGGUACAACUAUUCCAGUCGUUUCGUUUCGUUAGCGACAUGCGAAAGUACUUGCGAAGAGCUAAAUGAUUUCAACAAUCUGUUUAAAGCCAGUAUAGUUAAAGCUCGCCAUUCAAGUUCUCUGACCAUUAGAGCUGUAAAACAUCGGAACAUCGUCCAUUUGACAAACGGCAGUCUUCUGUGUUAUCGUAUGAAUGGCUCAGUGCAAGUGGCAUCAGCACUCUGUGGACUCCACUAUGUGUAUCCACCCGAGGACGUGUCAUGCACAGCAGUUACUACGUCCUGGACCGUGACUGUGUCCUGCCACGUCGGACGUGUCUACUCUUCACGUGGACUUUACACGUGUCAGCUUUACCGGCUAAACCAGGCAUCACAAAUCAAAAUCUUGGAAACAGUCGCAAUGCUGACCUCACCAACCAGCGAGUACAUAGGAGAGAAAGAAGUGAAGGUUUCAAGUUUUUGUCAGUUCAACACCACACUGCCAACAGAGGAAGGACAGUAUGCCUUUCAUGUCUCUGUUUCACCAGGUGGACGGACGUACUAUGCAAACUUUACAGAUAAAUACAACUGGAUUACAACUGAACGCCCUUCUUUGCCCAGUGUGUCGUGUGGUCCUCAGCACUAUGUGUUAGAGAAGACAAGCGCCACCUGUACCUGCAAUACCUCUUCUCUGGGCCAACCUGCAGGUUACUUGAUAUGGAUCAUAGGUGACCAGACAGACCUGGAGACAGCAGCCACUGAAGGCCAAUACAAACUCCCAUCACACGAACUACAUCAUAAGCAUUUCUUCACUCAAGCAGACCAUGGCAGAACCUGGUUCAGAUGCGAUGUGGUCUGGGGACUGGAGAAGAUACAUGGAGAAAACUACAUUGUCAAUGUGGGAUACGCUCCCAGACUACCUGAGUUUUUGCUCAACGGCUACAAACAAAAUCAAACAGUAAAUGAGGGACAACAAGUGAACAUUUUGUGUGAAUCUGACGGUCGGCCCACACCAAACAUCUCCAUCUACAACAACGACAACGACACCGUCAUCAUUAGAGAUGUGUCUCCUGUCAUCUACACCUUCAUCGCUCGCUGUGAGGACACGGCCACCUACACGUGCUCCGCGUGGAACGAGUUUUCACGUCAGUCAGGCGUGACCUCCUCGGUCAGUCUUGACCUCAACGUCCGGUGCAAGCCUCGAAGUCACUCGUCUACACGACUUGGGUUUCACAUGAUGUACCAGCAAGCGGAAAUGAACUUUGACAUAAUAGCUUACCCCGUACCACACGAGUAUCACCUGUGGUUGGUAAAAUCACCAAUAAACAACAGUGAAAGUGCCCACAAUGACGAUAAAGACCUCCAGGUAAACAUCACCUGUCAGUCUGUAUUUCGCCGUUACCUGUCCACAUGCUCUCUGAGAGUCGUCAACAUCAAUUCCCUGUCAACAGGCUCCUACAAGGUGCAGGUCAUUAACGAGGCUGGUGACGAGAACUUCACUGUCACAAUAGACUUCAAUGUCCCGAAAUACCUGGAAUCAUAUUACCCGGCCGUUACUAGUGUGUGUGUGUCGUCGUCUUUAUCUUCACGAUUGCUGCUAUCAUUGUCUUACUUAAGAAAAGGAAGGGAAGCAAAGGUAAGUUAUAGAUAGCCUCUUCUAAUUAAAAGAAAGUGGUAUCGAAUGAUUUACUCGGAUAAAUGUAAAUGUCAUGCUAUUCUUUCUGUAUUACCAUAGUUUUUAUUAGCCUCAUAGCUCGAUUUUAUAGACCACCCCAAACCGAACUCUCUUCUCCCACUUUAUAACCUUCUAAUAAAGCUUUCCUGGGUGAUGUCUACUUAACAUUAUGUUCGUCAACUAUAUCCGAUAAGAUUUUAGAAGACAUUUUUGUUAUGGCCGUAUUAUUUCGCACGAUCUGCCAAGCUUUAUUGGUAGUCUGCACUAAACUGAGAAGCGAGUAAUAAAAGUGAUGGCGAUCGCUUUAAAUAUCCGGAACAUAGACUUCAGUCAAUCAGUGUAAAGACUCCAGACAGUCGUGUUGGGGUUGAAACUUCUUUCUGGUGAUAGAAGAAUGGAAGCAUCAUUCACUUGUACAGAGCAACAUUUGCUAUGAUGCCCAAGGGAAGUUCUUGUCCGUCAGAACCUCUGUGACAUACUAGCUUCCCAGACCUUACCCUUACAAUAAUACUGAGGAUUCACAUCUUCAAAGCAGCGAAGCUUCAUAGCCGGAGUCCUGUCAGACGCCCCUGUGUGCUUUAGUGGACAAGACAAAAAAAGAAAGAAAACCCUCGUCCCUCCAUAACGAUGACUAACGUGCUCAUGCAGGUAAGAGUAAAUUUAGUUUUGUAUGUUAUCAUGCUGGCAAAGACAAAGGAUAUAAGAUAAGUAUAUCUUAAGAGAUGUUGUCUGAGCGUCGUUUCCUUCUUUACUUUAAUGAAUACGCAAGUGAAUGAUUUGUAACGAGAAUUCUACAAAAAGCAACGCUUUGUUGCAUUUUUUUACUUCUGAUACUUGCCAUUGCAUAGCAUUGGUGAACAUUCCAUGUGUGGAGUGCACACCCUCUGAGUAGUUUAUGUAUUUUUGAAAGAUUUAUAUAGCGUUAACUAUCUCCCUGUUAAUUUUGUGACUAUGUAGCAUCAUGUGUGGUGAUGCACAAACAAUCGAGUAUAUCAUUCUAUAGUACUUUGUUGAGCAGCUUUAAACUGAUUUCUCUGCGUGCAGGUCAAAGGAAAGAGAACAGUUUAAAUAGCCAUCAUUUGGGCGAGUGUCCGAAUACUGUGUUCAGCACCACAUGAAGAUGCUAAAAGUGGAUGUCCGCAGUCCAGCCUCAUCUUUCCAUACUCUUGAUGAGGGCAGAUGGUUCAGCUUCCAUCUUUGACUGUCAGUGAUAUCGCCCACGCACGUGAAGACAGAAUACAGCACGAUUUGCUUGAUGGGAAAACAUUUGUGAUCAUGCAUCUGUGUGUGUGUGUUCGUGCGUGUCAUAGCGCCAUUGACUAAUAAGAGUACAGUGCAUAAGAGAUUUGCUGAGUGUCAUUAAACAGUAACAAAAUUGCUCAUGAGGUACUUCUUCAGUGAAAUGAUUUAUUCAUGGAAAUCACUAGUAUAUGAGAUUUAUGUGCAGAUCAAGUUUUGAAAAAGAAAGUUUCUUAUUUAGUCAUUCAUCAUAAUUGCUCUUAUGCAUUUUAGCAAAUUUUCAGUCGGACCCACAUGACAGACAUUAUUUUGGAGCAUGUCAGUCAGUGUGAAAGUGUGGAGCUGUGACAUUUUAGAAUACUUGAUUGCUACAGAACAGGCACUGAAUGUUAGAGCUUUCGAUCCAGUUCAUCAUAAAACCUCUUUAAAAGGGUUUAACCCGCCUUUAAUCGGCUUUUCAUUUGUCAAGUCAGGCUCGAAAAUAGUGAACAUAUGAACAUGUACAACGAAUUUAAAACGGUGCUAAAGUCACACUUUGGAUUAAUCUUCACUUCAGUCAGGCUUUUCCUUAAGAUCACUUAAAGAUGAUGAGUUG